GACAGAGGGGGCAAGCGUUGCUCGGAAUUACUGGGCGUAAAGCGUGCGUAGACGGUUAUUUAAGUCGGGUGUGAAAGCCCCGGGCUCAACCUGGGAAUUGCAUUCGAUACUGAGAGUCUUGAGUCCGGGAGAGGUGAGUGGAACUGCGAGUGUAGAGGUGAAAUUCGUAGAUAUUCGCAAGAACACCAGUGGCGAAGGCGGCUCACUGGCCCGGUACUGACGCUGAGGUGCGAAAGCGUGGGGAGCAAACAGG
rnacentral:rRNA from 1 species